CGUUGUUCGGAAUUACUGGGCGUAAAGAGCGGGUAGGCGGCCCUGCAAGUCGGAUGUGAAAUCCCACGGCUCAACCGUGGAAGUGCAUUCGAAACUGCAGGGCUAGAGUCCUGGAGAGGAAGGUGGAAUGCUUGGUGUAGAGGUGAAAUUCGUAGAUAUCAAGCGGAACACCGGUGGCGAAGGCGGCCUUCUGGACAGUGACUGACGCUGAGACGCGAAAGCGUGGGGAGCAAACAGG
rnacentral:rRNA from 1 species